rnacentral:rRNA from 1 species
GACGAACGCUGGCGGCGUGCCUAAUACAUGCAAGUUGAGCGCUGAAGGUUGGUACUUGUACCAACUGGAUGAGCAGCGAACGGGUGAGUAACGCGUGGGGAAUCUGCCUUUGAGCGGGGGACAACAUUUGGAAACGAAUGCUAAUACCGCAUAAAAACUUUAAACACAAGUUUUAAGUUUGAAAGAUGCAAUUGCAUCACUCAAAGAUGAUCCCGCGUUGUAUUAGCUAGUUGGUGAGGUAAAGGCUCACCAAGGGGAUGAUACAUAGCCGACCUGAGAGGGUGAUCGGCCACCUUGGGACUGGGACACGGCUCAAACUCCUUCGGGAGGCAGCAGGAGGGAAUCUUCGGCAAUGGACGGAAGUCUGACCGCGCAACGCCGCGUGAGUGAAGAAGGUUUUCGGAUCGUAAAACUCUGUUGGUAGAGAAGAACGGUGGUGAGAGUGGAAAGCUCAUCAAGUGACGGUAACUACCCAGAAAGGGACGGCUAACUACGUG